rnacentral:rRNA from 1 species
GACGAACGCUGGCGGCGUGCCUAAUACAUGCAAGUAGGACGCACAGUCUAUACCGUAGCUUGCUACACCAUAGGCUGUGAGUUGCGAACGGGUGAGUAACGCGUAGGUAACCUGCCUAUUAGAGGGGGAUAACUAUUGGAAACGAUAGCUAAUACCGCAUAACAGUAUGUAACACAUGUUAGAUGCUUGAAAGAUGCAAUUGCAUCGCUAGUAGAUGGACCUGCGUUGUAUUAGCUAGUAGGUAGGGUAAUGGCCUACCUAGGCGACGAUACAUAGCCGACCUGAGAGGGUGAUCGGCCACACUGGGACUGAGACACGGCCCAGACUCCUACGGGAGGCAGCAGUAGGGAAUCUUCGGCAAUGGGGGGAACCCUGACCGAGCAACGCCGCGUGAGUGAAGAAGGUUUUCGGAUCGUAAAGCUCUGUUGUUAAGGAAGAACGAGUGUGAGAAUGGAAAGUUCAUACUGUGACGGUACUUAACCAGAAAGGGACGGCUAGCUACGUG